rnacentral:rRNA from 1 species
GAUGAAUGCUGGCGGCGUGCCUAAUACAUGCAAGUCGAGCGGUAAGGCCCUUCGGGGUACACGAGCGGCGGACGGCUGAGUAACGCGUGGGAACAUGCCCCAAAGUGAGGGAUAACGCACCGAAAGGUGUGCUAAUACCGCAUAUGGUCUUCGGAUUAAAGGAUUUAUCCGCUUUGGGAGUGGCCCGCGUACGAUUAGAUUGUUGGUGAGGUAACGGCUCACCAAGUCGACGAUCGUUAACUGGUCUGAGAGGAUGAUCAGUCAGACUGGAACUGAGACACGGUCCAGACUCCUACGGGAGGCAGCAGUAAGGAAUCUUCCACAAUGGGCGAAAGCCUGAUGGAGCAACGCCGCGUGCAGGAUGAAGGCCCUCGGGUCGUAAACUGCUUUUAUGAGUGAAGAAUAUGACGGUAACUCAUGAAUAAGCACCGGCUAACUACGUG